AAUAGAUACCCGGGUAGUCCACGCCGUAAACGACUGAGUGCUAAGUCGUUAAGGAGGGUUUCCGCCCUUUAGGUGCUGCAGCUAACGCAUUAAGCACUCCGCCUGGGGAGUACGGCCGCAAGGCUGAAACUCAAAGGAAUUGACGGGGGCCCGCACAAGCGGUGGAGCAUGUGGUUUAAUUCGAAGCAACGCGAAGAACCUUACCAGGUCUUGACAUCCUCUGCCAACCCUAGAGAUAGGGCGUUCCCCUUCGGGGGACAGAGUGACAGGUGGUGCAUGGUUGUCGUCAGCUCGUGUCGUGAGAUGUUGGGUUAAGUCCCGCAACGAGCGCAACCCUUGAUCUUAGUUGCCAGCAUUCAGUUGGGCACUCUAAGGUGACUGCCGGUGACAAACCGGAGGAAGGUGGGGAUGACGUCAAAUCAUCAUGCCCCUUAUGACCUGGGCUACACACGUGCUACAAUGGAUGGUACAAAGAGCUGCGAACCCGCGAGGGUAAGCCAAUCUCAUAAAGCCAUUCUCAGUUCGGAUUGUAGG
rnacentral:rRNA from 1 species